AACAUUGUGCUGGGCCGGAAGAACCGCAACCAGGUCCCUUCCCAUACCAAAGCAGUAACUAUUUUGGAAAAGCCUCCUUCAUAUUGCAGCCAUUGGACAUGAUAAUACAUGUGAUGUGCUGGAGUUUGUUAAGAAUCAUGUGAAAAUUAAGCUUCUGCCCCAUCGCACUAAAGUUCCAGCCCUGAGUCCCCAUGGUUUUCUCCCUAGACUAAGAUAGAGAGGAAGAACAUGAAAUAUGCAGAAAGCAUUCUCUUAAGCAAACGUGUAUAAUUUGCCUAAAUUGUAAUUAUUUCCUGGAACAGCAUGCACCUCUAAACUCUACAGGCACAUCAUAGAUUCCAUCGUCCAGCUGUAUAAUGACAACAGAGUUCUCAGAGAACACCGGAGACUCCCCCGACUUGCCUGAAUCAAGUUUCUAGAGGUAACAACUGAUGUUGGAACUAUGAAAAGCUCUUCUCUACUUUUAACAAAGCUUAGUCACAAACAGUUCCCCAGUUGACGAGAAGAACUAAAACAACAGAACAAUUGAAAGUCCAAAUUUGAAAGCUCCAUCUCCGAGAAGCAAAUUUUACAGCCACUCCAGAUUUGUAUUCCAAAUGGAUAGUUUGAUUGUAAAAAUCACAUCCCUUCAGCCUGCAAAUGUGAUAACUGCCCAAGAGACAGUGAUGCCUAUAUCCAUAGAUAAUCCCCUUUCCCCCAACCUAUAUAUAACUGGAGUCAACAGCAGCUGGAGGAAAAUGGCAAGGACUUGUAAUCAAGAUUAAGUUAGAAAAACACUGCUGUAGACUGUUUAUCAGCUCUUCAGCAUAUGUCCGUUUUCCUUGAAGGAUGAGCGUUUAGAAACCUCUGACAAUAAAGUUUAUUUUACACACA